AUUGAACGCUGGCGGCAGGCUUAACACAUGCAAGUCGAGCGGGGAAAGGUAGCUUGCUACCUGACCUCGCGGCGGACGGGUGAGUAAUGCUUAGGAAUCUCCCUACUAGUGGGGGACAACAUCUCGAAAGGGAUGCUAAUACCGCAUACGUCCUACGGGAGAAAGCAGGGGACCUUCGGGCCUUGCGCUAAUAGAUGAGCCUAAGGCGGAUUAGCCAGCUGGUGGGGUAAAGGCCUACCAAGGCGAGGAUCUGUAGCGGGCCUGAGAGGAUGAUUCGCCAGACUGGGACGGAGACACGGCCCAGAGGCCUUCGGGAGGCAGCAGGGGGGAAUAUUGGACAAUGGGGGGAACACUGAGCCAGACAUGCGGAGUGUGUGAAGAAGGCCUUUUGGUUGUAAAGCACGGUAAGCGAGGAGGAGGCUACCGAGAUUAAUACUCUUGGAUAGUGGACGUUACUCGCAGAAUAAGCACCGGCUAACUCUGUG
rnacentral:rRNA from 1 species